rnacentral:rRNA from 1 species
CUGAGAAGGAAACGGAUAGAGUUAACGAAACUCAGUGGUAUUCAUCCGAGUCAUUGUCGUUGCUGGCUGCUUUGUUUGACUAGCCUUCGGGUUGGAAGCAUUGUGGCUUUUCGAUGACAGUGCUUGGUGUAUUUACCAUUGGUAUGCGCUGAGAAAUUCGCUGUGGUGCGUUGCUGCUGCUCAAAGAUCGCCAGAUUCUUAUGAAUUUGGAAAGUUUUGGUGGUGAAAACGUAUCCGUGGUGAAUGCUGCUUCGCAGUGCUGCGCUUGCUUUGGCGCAACGGCUGCUGUAUGAUUGGUGUAGCUAUUGGGCGGUCGCAUGCGACUUGCUUAUAGUUGAUGCUGGUCUAUGGUGGUGCAGUUGCGUUGGCGUUAGCAUCUCGGUGUGAAAGUUGACCACCUAUCCGACCCGUCUUGAAACACGGACCAAGGAGUUUAGCAUAUGCGCAAGUCAUUGGGUGGUAAACCUAAAGGCGUAAUGAAAGUAAAGAUCGCUUUAAUGCGGUUGAUAUGGGAUCCGCGUAGUUACGGCUGCUGCGGCGCACCAUAGCCCCGUCCCCGUUGCUUGCAAUAGGGCGGAGGUAGAGCGCAUACGCUGAGACCCGAAAGAUGGUGAACUAUGCCUGAGCAGGAUGAAGC